CCUACGGGGUGCAGCAGGCGCGAAACCUCCACAAUGUACGAGAGUGCGAUGGGGGGAUCCCAAGUGCUAUUCUUAACGGGAUAGCUUUUCUUAAGUGUAAAAAGCUUUUGGAAUAAGAGCUGGGCAAGACCGGUGCCAGCCGCCGCGGUAACACCGGCAGCUCUAGUGGUAGCUGUUUUUAUUGGGCCUAAAGCGUUCGUAGCCGGUUUGAUAAGUCUCUGGUGAAAUCCUGUAGCUUAACUGUGGGAAUUGCUGGUGAUACUGUUGAACUUGAGGUCGGGAGAGGUUAGCGGUACUCCCAGGGUAGAGGUGAAAUUCUGUAAUCCUGGGAGGACCACCUGUGGCGAAGGCGGCUAACUGGAACGAACCUGACGGUGAGGGACGAAAGCUAGGGGCGCGAACCGGAUUAGAUACCCAUGUAGUCC
rnacentral:rRNA from 1 species